GGCGGGACACGUGGUAUCCUGUCUGAAUAUGGGGGGACCAUCCUCCAAGGCUAAAUACUCCUGACUGACCGAUAGUGAACCAGUACCGUGAGGGAAAGGCGAAAAGAACCCCGGCGAGGGGAGUGAAAAAGAACCUGAAACCGUGUACGUACAAGCAGUGGGAGCACGCUUAGGCGUGUGACUGCGUACCUUUUGUAUAAUGGGUCAGCGACUUAUAUUCUGUAGCAAGGUUAACCGAAUAGGGGAGCCGAAGGGAAACCGAGUCUUAACUGGGCGUUAAGUUGCAGGGUAUAGACCCGAAACCCGGUGAUCUAGCCAUGGGCAGGUUGAAGGUUGGGUAACACUAACUGGAGGACCGAACCGACUAAUGUUGAAAAAUUAGCGGAUGACUUGUGGCUGGGGGUGAAAGGCCAAUCAAACCGGGAGAUAGCUGGUUCUCCCCGAAAGCUAUUUAGGUAGCGCCUCGUGAAUUCAUCUCCGGGGGUAGAGCACUGUUUCGGCAAGGGGGUCAUCCCGACUUACCAACCCGAUGCAAACUGCGAAUACCGGAGAAUGUUAUCACGGGAGACACACGGCGGGUGCUAACGUCCGUCGUGAAGAGGGAAACAACCCAGACCGCCAGCUAAGGUCCCAAAGUCAUGGUUAAGUGGGAAACGAUGUGGGAAGGCCCAGACAGCCAGGAUGUUGGCUUAGAAGCAGCCAUCAUUUAAAGAAAGCGUAAUAGCUCACUGGUCGAGUCGGCCUGCGCGGAAGAUGUAACGGGGCUAAACCAUGCACCGAAGCUGCGGCAGCGACGCUUAUGCGUUGUUGGGUAGGGGAGCGUUCUGUAAGCCUGCGAAGGUGUGCUGUGAGGCAUGCUGGAGGUAUCAGAAGUGCGAAUGCUGACAUAAGUAA
rnacentral:rRNA from 1 species